rnacentral:rRNA from 1 species
GACGAACGCUGGCGGCGUGCUUAACACAUGCAAGUCGAACGAAGUGGCGAACGGGUGAGUAACGCGUAAUCAACCUGCCCUUCAGAGGGGGACAACAGUUGGAAACGACUGCUAAUACCGCAUACUGAAGGAGGGGAUUGCGUCUGAUUAGCUAGUUGGAGGGGUAACGGCCCACCAAGGCGAGGAUCAGUAGGCGGUCGGAGAGGAUGAAAGGCCAAAUUGGGACUGAGACACGGCCAAGACUCCUACGGGAGGCAGCAGUGGGGAAGCUUCCGCAAUGGACGAAAGGCUGAAGGAGGAACGCCGCGUGAGUGAUGACGGCCUUCGGGUUGGAAAGCUCUGUUAAUCGGGACGCGGUACCGGAAUAGAAAGCCACGGCUAACUACGUGCCAGCAGCCGCGGUAAUUC